GCCGGGGUGGCUGAGCGGUCUAAAGCGCCGGCCUCGAGAGCCGGUGCCCCUUUACGGGGCGCGUGGGUUCAAAUCCCACCCCCGGCG
rnacentral:tRNA from 1 species